rnacentral:rRNA from 1 species
GAUGAACGCUGGCGGCGUGCCUAAUACAUGCAAGUCGAGCGAGCAGACGAGGAGCUUGCUCCUCUGACGUUAGCGGCGGACGGGUGAGUAACACGUGGAUAACCUACCUAUAAGACUGGGAUAACUUCGGGAAACCGGAGCUAAUACCGGAUAAUAUAUUGAACCGCAUGGUUCAAUAGUGAAAGACGGUUUUGCUGUCACUUAUAGAUGGAUCCGCGCCGCAUUAGCUAGUUGGUAAGGUAACGGCUUACCAAGGCGACGAUGCGUAGCCGACCUGAGAGGGUGAUCGGCCACACUGGAACUGAGACACGGUCCAGACUCCUACGGGAGGCAGCAGUAGGGAAUCUUCCGCAAUGGGCGAAAGCUUGACGGAGCAACGCCGCGUGAGUGAUGAAGGUCUUCGGAUCGUAAAACUCUGUUAUUAGGGAAGAACAAAUGUGUAAGUAACUAUGCACGUCUUGACGGUACCUAAUCAGAAAGCCACGGCUAACUACGUG